rnacentral:lncRNA from 1 species
GGUGGUGAGGUGGGGGCAGUUAGGACCCUGUAUGUUAUGUAAAAUAGAUUUACAAAAAGGACAAGCAUGAUAAAAGGGAAUGAAUGGAGACGAUGUAUUAUUCAGUUUGAAAGAGAUAGUUCACAUUUUUAUAAGAAAAAUUUAAUAAAACAUAUAUUUUAGUUAUCAUUUAACAAAGAUAUAUUAAAGCUAUUCAGGCAAUGCCACAGGAUUCUCAUGAAGGGAAAUCACUGAACCCUUGUCAUGAGAAAAUGGUCAUUUCAACACAUUUCAAUACAUUGUAUAAAUUUGGAGCUUAAGGUGAGUGAGUAUGUUUUCACUUAGUCAUAAAUGUUUGGUCAAAAUUAAAGUUAUCAUAUGGUUUCACAUCAAUACAAAUAUUGUCACAGUGUUACAGAAACAACUAUCAAAUGGUAAGAUAGUUUACAUUUGUGUUUUCUAGAAACCUUUGUAUUUAUGCUUCAUUUGGUUAAUGUUAAGUGCUGAUAAAGGCAUACCAGAUUGUUUGUCAAAGUAAAGAAGCAAUCCAUCACACCUAGGACAUCUAAGGAUGGAUUAUACGUCAGAGUGGUCUCAUAUACAAAUGACCAUUUUCCUUCAGUAAAAUCUUGUUGGUUGAAAUGUAAGUCUUUUCCUAAAGUUUUAAUCAGAGGUAGCCAUCACUAAGACUUAAGCCACCUGUGGUUCUCUUAAGUUUCACUGAAGCCAGAAGAAGGAAAUUACCACAACUUGUAUUAUACUAAUUAUCUUCAUUAUUAACGAUCAUAUUAGAGCCACUGACAUGUCCCAAAUUAUAUUAAAAUAAAAACCUGCAUUGCUCUGACAUGAAGCUCAAUUCAAUGUAAUAAACAAAUUAGGUAUUAAACGUUAUAAUUUAAAAAACUUCUACGAUAUCACCAGAAAUCCUGGUGAAAUUUAAUUUUUUCCCUUUUUUAGGUCAGUGGCCGGUGGGAUAGAUUUUUCUAAACUUUUUCCUGCUAUGAUUUUGAAGGCAAAUACAUAGAGCACAGUUCAGUAAAAGAGUUUCCAAGCCUUUUCACUGGAGCAUUUACAUUUUGAUUCUGUUGUCAUUUGAAAUAGAACAUCUGCAGGGAGAUAAUGAGCUUAAGUUACAAUUGACUUUGGAAAGAAUAACAGACUUUUGUGUUUCCUCAAUCAUGUAGUCAAUAGGGAAUUCUCCAGUUAUGUGAACAAUCACAGUCUUUUAAGACAAUACUUAGAUCUAAAUGCAAAAUCUAGCAUGCAGAGGCUUUUUAAGGAUUUUAGACUGUCUCCAAAGAACUUGGCUCGAGAUGGAUUACACAGAUUUACAAAUGCAGUUUUCAACUGUGACAUCAAACUGAUCUUAUCUCAUUUCAUGUUACUCAACUGUGCCCGUAGGACCCCAAGAGGUGGAAUAUUUUGUCUACAUUAUUUUAAACAUCUAUAGAUAUGUGUGGAUGUGUGAAUAAUGCCUAAAUUUCUCAUCUUUUAACUAGUUUGUUUUUAUCAUACAGACACAGCCUGUUCAUAAGACCAGCUUUAGACAACUUAGAACUCAAUGCUCUGAAGAUUCAGGGAGGCCAACAUAGAAAAAGAUCUUCCAAAAUAUGGGGUGGUCCAACCCAUCUCAUCCCUCUCUAGCUGGAAAACUAUAGAGAAAGGGCUGUGACUGCCUUGACCACUGCCUGGCACAAUGUAGGCACUCGGUAUUUGUUGGAUGAAUAAGUGGCUGAAUCAGUGAAUAGACAAAAAACAUGGAUUUUGCCUUCUGAAAAUCUCACAAAUUUUACCAGCUUAUAUUAUACUGAUUGUCACUAUGAUUUCUAAGUUUCAUGGUUAGAACCAUAUUUUGAGUCUAUAUAAAAACUUUUUAGAUGUAUGAAUUUGAAAUUUCAUUAAUUACUUUAAAGGCUUCAAAGAUUUGAGGACAUUUGAACAGUGGAUAAGGAACAAUGUUUGGGGAUACAGAGUUUUUAUGCUGAGUUGAACUCAACCUUUCUAGUUCUUUAUACAAGCUUCCUGAAUUAUCUGGCAGGAAUGAUUCAAACAUAAAACCCCAUUUUUAAAUUUUAUAAAAGAUAUUUUCAUUUUUAUAUAAAAAGAUCAUCAGGCAUAUUAUCCCCUUUGAUAUUUAUUAACAACCAUUCUCUAAGAAAUUCAUAAUAAUUGGAGACACCAUCCCUAAAUCUCUUCCUAUUUUCAAAAGAUCAUUUAUCCUUUCAUAUUUGAUUCCUGGAAUACACUAAGCUGAAGUUUAAUCACAUACUUACUCAGAUGUUUCCAUGUGUUUAUUCAUUUAACAAAUACUUAUUGUGUACCUAGUGCAUGCUAGGUUCUGGAAAUGCAACAGCAAACAAGACAGACACAAUCCCUCUUGGAGGUUACUGUGAGAAACUCUCCAACAUUUACUCUAGCAAUAACUAGAGAGUUUACUGUCCAUUGGGUCCUCUUCACACCUGAUAGAAAAAAUAAAAUUCCUCACCCCAUGGAAGUCAUGAAAUACUCCCUGCACAGAUUUGUGUGAGCUUGCUUUUCUAAAACCACUGCUCAAAAAUGCUGCUUAGUUUAUCUAUAAACCACGGUUAUACCCCAGUGAGGUAGGUAAGUAAUUUAUUCAUAACUAACAUUUAUGCAGCUCUAUUUUCUAGCCACUGUGCUGAGUGCUUUUAUGGACUAUCUCACCAAAUCCCUUCAACAACUCUAUUCAGUAGGUUCCAUUUUAUAGAUACAAAAACUGAAGCACAGAUAUAUUAUGUGACUUGUCCAAGGUCACACAGCUAGCAGGUGGAACUGGGAUUUGAACCCAUGCAAUCUGACACAAGAGUUCAUGUGUCUAAUCAUUAUCUGUGGUUUGGGGGACACCAUUACAUUAAAAUGAAUGAGUCACUAAGUGAGUCACUGUAUAUAAAAUACUUGGAAAUUGUAAAGUAAUAUACAAAAGAUAUUAACAAAGUAUUAUUCAUGGUAAACAAAUCACAUCAGUAGCAAACACAGGGUGGGAACUCAAUCUUAUGUUAUAGCUUACUCUUAAGAAGAAUAUGUGAAGCCAGGAACAUGGUUAAAGGUACAGACCAGAAAAUUUCUGACAUGUGAUAAAUAUUUCAGUGACUUUUCAGAUUUAUUUCUUGUUAGCCGCUGUGUCUAUUUGGUGCUACAAAAACUGAAAGAAACAAAAUCCCUGAUGUAAGGGCUUAUAAUAAAUACACAGUUUGGAGAUGAACUAAGGAUAUUUUACAUUUACGGGAAAGGAUUGGACAAUAGUAUCAUUUUCUCACCAUUUGCAUGUACAUCAUGUCUUUCCAAUUGUUUUCAUUAUUUUUCUGAAAGAGCUGCAAAAUUGUGCAGUGGUUCAACCUGACCAAAGUGGUAUUAUGCUGCUGGGAAGUAAAAGUAUUAGACACCAAA